rnacentral:rRNA from 1 species
AAUGAACGCUGGCGGCAUGCCUAACACAUGCAAGUCGAACGAAACGUUCGGGAGCUGUGGCGUCUGAGGUUGUAACGGGAGGGAACAGUCCCAUAUGUUCGGAAUAACUAUCCGAAAGGGGUGCUAUUAGGGGACAAUGGCUACUAACGAAAGAUUUAUCGCCCUGGGAUGGGCCCGAGUUGGAUUAGCUAGUUGGUAGGGUAAUAGCCUACCACGGCGACGAUCAGUAGCUGGUUUGUGAGGAUGAUCAGCCACACUGGGACUGAGACGCGGCCCAGACUCCUACGGGAGGCAGCAGUGGGGAAUAUUGGACAAUCGGCGAAAGCCUGAUCCAGCAAUGCCGCGUGAGUGAUGAAGGCCUUAGGGUUGUAAAGCUCUUUUACCCGGGAUGAUAAUGACAGUACCGGGAGAAUAAGCUCCGGCUAACUCCGUG